ensembl:lncRNA
GUGAUUUUCAGCUGGUAGCUUUUUAGCACUAGGCCAAGGCAUCAAGCAAUGGAUGAUAAAAAGGCCAAUGGGCUGCUGUCUGAUUACUUUAAAAGCCGCUUUGCAGACAAACUGAAAAGCCAUGUAUUGUAAGAGGAUUUAGAAAUAAGAAUGUACUUCGUCAUUUAAUCUUUUGAAGUGUUCAUGAUUGGAUUUCAUUGUAUUUUGUGUUUUAUUGUAUAUGGCAGCAAUACUGGACCUCCCCAGGCCUUCUUCGCUGCUACCACCCGUCUUACUCAGAGGCGACGAGAAGAGAAGGACAUUCACAAGGAACUUGAUUUGACUCUAAAUUCCCAAAGAGUCAGGAAAGAGACGUUGGAACAGAAAGAGAUCAAGAUCAAGGAGAGACUGAAGAAUUUUGACCAGUAUCUCAAGGAGAUGAAAGUGAAACAAUGCCAAGCUUGGAAGAAGGCAAAGCAGGAGAAGGAACUAACCCUCCACAAAGCAGAGAAACUACAAACUCUAAAAGAAGAGCUCCAGGAGCUUAUCAUUAAGAGGGAUAGGCUGAACAAGCUAGUGGAAAAGUAUCAGAUCUACCCCAAUUACUU